GUUAGAAAUAUCUAAUGGUGUGCACGAGUGGAACUACAUUGUCGUCGUUGUUGUUGUCGUGGUUGUUGUCCUAAUCUCGACUUCCCCAGCAUUUCCAUAGUAUUGCGAGUCCCAUAUGGCUGAAACGGGUGAUCUUCAGAGCCGGGGACUUGGCUACCCGAAGUGGUUGUAGUUUGCGUGUCGCACGAACUCAUAGUCGAUAGAGCUAUAGCAAAUCCACCAUUUUUAAACAAAUUCCAACCUCCCAUCAUUCUUGUUACUAUUUCUUUUAUCUGUUUCAGCAUCCAAAGACUCAGCUUGUCGCCGUUGCCGACACUUUCACUUUCAUUAAUUUCUGCUAAUUGGUUCUGCAAAAAGUCCCUCGCUUUAAUGAACCCUUUGGUUUCGUAGGUCCUUAUGGCGUCGUGAAUGCGCAACGAGCAAUAGAGGCAUGCCCUCGUCCGUACAACCUCCUUGUGAACAAGAAUCUUUGUAUGUCCAGAUCAAAUCAAGGCAUGUCUCCUUAAGCUCCAAGCUGUUUUCCGGGAGAGUCACUUCGAUAAGAAAUUCUUUCGUCUCAUCAGCGAAAAGGGCUCCGAUGCGACAGGCGAUGGCAUCCCGCAGAAUCGCGUAGCUUUCCAAGUAGGAGUAAGUGCCGCCUGUUGCCGAACACACUGCGUGCAGCGCAAAAGGGUCGUGCUGUGUACCAAUGCCAAAGGCGUAGACCGGAUAUACGGGUGCUUCAAAGUAACUAUUUAUAUACUCUACGUCAUAGCGAGGAGGAUAGACUGCAAGCGGUAAUUCCUCAAGGUAACUUAGUUCCUUUUCUCGAUUAAUCUCCAAGGCAAGAGGCCGUGUGUUUCUAGUGUCUUUCCUAUCGGACAAGAGUAUAAUGAAUGCCACUGGAUUGAGAUACCGUCUUUGAUCAAGAACCAGAGCUGCAACAGUAAGAAGAUCAACAAAAUUAGUUGCAGCUUUUGCAAAGACAAGUCUGUUAACGGCAUCUUUUGCCGCUUUCUGUCCUUGCUCGGACAUUGUGCGCAGGGGAGAAACCUUUUCAGGCCUGGCAGAGGACGAAAGUAUCGAAAGCCUGUCCGAGGGGCCUAAGUUGUCGAUUACAAAGCCCAGGGCAUUUCUGACAUGAUCCCAUGCUCGUUGUCCGAGGUCUUGGCUAAAAUCGAGCGCAAUAAGAAGAUCAAUAGGAGUGCGCUGCAGGGGAUGGUUUCUAUAUUGGAACAAUGAUGGUGCCUCUAUCUGAACAAGAACAUUAAAUUUUUCUGGCGGAACUGUUGAAAUGACAAAGGGGCGCUCGGGAAUGUCGGUAACAGUAACUCUGGGUAAGCCAUAAGCUGGAAUGAAAGAUGCUUCAUGGAAGGGCAGAGGUUCAUCGUCAGGAUAGAAAAGGGGCUCGACAUAAUCGCCUCUUUUCUGCUGCAAAAUAUAAUGCAGAAAACACUCACUGCUUGGUUCAUUGCAAUGUAAGAAAUUAAACUAGUACGCAAUACGAACAUUUCAACAAGAUUUAAAGAAUCAUGAGGCAUUUUCGAAUCAGAUCAAGAUCGUCAACAAGAUUUCAAGUAUCCAACAAGAUGCCCUGGAAAGCCAAUCAAUAUAUAUGGAAACACGAACAGGUUGUGGGAAGCAUACUGAUAUUGUAGCUAUAAAGUAAUAUCGAAUCAAAUCAAUCAGUUUAGGAAGAUAACUUACUGGUUGCGUAGACGAAGAAGGAUUCUUUGAAGAAGAAGACGAAGCCAUGAAUGUUUCUUGAUGCUGGUCUUGUGAAUGCGCAAUUUUCUUGGAGAAUUUAAGUAAUUAUACAGUUGAUAUGAUAUGAGAGUGAAAGAGUGAGGUUUUCGAUAU